rnacentral:snRNA from 1 species
UUUGGCAACACAGAAAUUAGAAUGAUUACAGAGAUUAGCAUUGCUGCUAUGAAAGAAUAGUGUGCAAAUUUGCAAAGUGUUUCAUAUCCUU